rnacentral:tRNA from 1 species
UCCUGGCUGGCUCAGUUGGUGGAGCGUGCGACUCUUGAUCUUGGGGUUGUGGGUUCAAGCCCCACGUUGGGUG